UACGGAGGGAGCUAGCGUUGUUCGGAAAUACUGGGCGUAAAGCGCACGUAGGCGGCGCAGCAAGUCAGGGGUGAAAUCCCGGGGCUCAACCCCGGAACUGCCCUUGAAACUGCAGUGCUAGAAUUCUGGAGAGGCGAGUGGAAUUCCGAGUGUAGAGGUGAAAUUCGUAGAUAUUCGGAAGAACACCAGUGGCGAAGGCGGCAUCCUGGACCAAUAUUGACGCUGAGGAGCGAAAGCCAGGGGAGCAAACGGG
rnacentral:rRNA from 1 species